CCGAGUUUGUACAACUGUAGCUACCUAUACCCGGAACGUCGUUUUUUAAGCUGGGCAGUGAAGAUUUCUUAAAGUAAAGGUAAAUUUAGUAAAGUUCUAAGUAAGUUUAGUAGGUUGGUUUUGCUAAAAUAUCGGUAGCUACUUGUUUUUUGUUGCAAGGUAAGCAACUUAGAUUUUGCUAAUAAGCUAGCUGCCAAACAUGACACCUGCGAAGUAGCGAAAACAACUGGAAAAACCGGUAUUAUAUUAUCCCGCUGGUUUGCUGCUUCCGUUUGGGAAAACUAUCUGAAACUGAAGAGGGACGGGGUCUUCAAAUUUCCCACGCAAAUCCUUUUGACGAUGGAAAUGACUGACUGGAAGUGGGAACCUUUUCUUGAGGAACUAUCCAAGGUAUGCUCCAGUCUUGUCAGGUGCAGCUACCUCAGCAUCCCAUCAGAGGAAACUUAGAUGCUGCAUUGGAAUGAAGACUUCUAUUUGACAUUGAUGCACCUUUGUGGUAUUAUAUGCAAAUUGAACAGGAUGAAGGCGGAGGCUGUUUGAUGUGCAAAUGAUGAUUUUGGGGCACUGCAAUUGUGCACACCACUGCUUUUCUGUUAAUUGCCUUCCCUGUGGAGUCACAAAACUUUAUUACAGGAAGAAUGAAUGUAAGCAUAAAGAGAAAGGGUUUUACUUUCAUGGUUUGAGCCAGUGGAGUAUGUAGUGUAUUCAACAUCACAAUACUGAA